rnacentral:rRNA from 1 species
GACGUAGGUGGCGAACGUUAUUCGGAAUUGAUUGGUGCGUAAAGGGUGCGUAGGUGGCCUGGCAAGUUAUCAGUGGCAAUCGAGGCCAACUUCGUGGAACUGGUAAUACUGUCCGGCUCGAGUACAGGAGAGGUUAAGUGGAACUCCAUGUGGAGCGGUAAAUGCACAGAUAUAUGGAUGAACACCAAUAACGGCGAAGGCAGUUAACUAUUCUGUUACUGACACUGAGGCACGAAGCGUGGGAGCAAAACGG